rnacentral:rRNA from 1 species
GACCUGCGGAGGAUCAUUGUCGAAGCCUCACAAGCAGUGCGACCCGCGAACUUGUUUGACGUGUGAGGGAUGGCUAGAAGGUGCUCGGCUCCUUGGUCACCCUCGUGUCGGGAGGUGCCGCACCUUGUGAGGUCUCCUCCCGGUUGAAUAACAAAAACCCGGCGCCGAACGCGCCAAGGAAAUCGAAAUCAUUUAGUGCACCCCCGUCGGCUCGGAGACGGUGCUCGUGCGGGCGGUGAUGCGACAUGCGGUAUCCGAAAGACUCUCGGCAACGGAUAUCUCGGCUCUUGCAUCGAUGAAGAACGUAGCGAAAUGCGAUACUUGGUGUGAAUUGCAGAAUCCCGUGAACCAUCGAGUCUUUGAACGCAAGUUGCGCCCGAAGCCAUUAGGCUGAGGGCACGCCUGCCUGGGUGUCGCCCAUCGUUGCCCCAGUGCCUUGGCCUCGUGCUAGGCACCGAGCUGGGUGAAUGUUGGCUUCCCGCGAGCAACGCCUCACGGUUGGUUGAAAAUUGAGUCCGUGGUGGAGGGCGCGCCGUGACGGAUGGUGGUUGAGUAAAAGAAAGCUCGAGACCCAUCGUGGGUGUCACCCGCACCGGCAUUGCGACUCUAUGAUCCAUGAGCGUCUCUUGGUCGCCAAAGACGUGACCUCAGGUCAGGCGGGGCUACCCGCUGAG